rnacentral:rRNA from 1 species
UGGGGAAUAUUGGACAAUGGGCGAAAGCCUGAUCCAGCCAUGCCGCGUGUGUGAAGAAGGUCUUCGGAUUGUAAAGCACUUUAAGUUGGGAGGAAGGGCAUUAACCUAAUACGUUAGUGUUUUGACGUUACCGACAGAAUAAGCACCGGCUAACUCUGUGCCAGCAGCCGCGGUAAUACAGAGGGUGCAAGCGUUAAUCGGAAUUACUGGGCGUAAAGCGCGCGUAGGUGGUUUGUUAAGUUGGAUGUGAAAUCCCCGGGCUCAACCUGGGAACUGCAUUCAAAACUGACUGACUAGAGUAUGGCAGAGGGUGGUGGAAUUUCCUGUGUAGCGGUGAAAUGCGUAGAUAUAGGAAGGAACACCAGUGGCGAAGGCGACCACCUGGACUAAUACUGACACUGAGGUGCGAAAGCGUGGGGAGCAAACA